rnacentral:rRNA from 1 species
AACGAACGCUGGCGGCAUGCCUAACACAUGCAAGUCGAACGAUGCUUUCGGGCAUAGUGGCGCACGGGUGCGUAACGCGUGGGAAUCUGCCCUGGGGUUCGGGAUAACAGCGGGAAACUGCUGCUAAUACCGGAUGAUAUCGCCAGAUCAAAGAUUUAUCGCCCUGGGAUGAGCCCGCGUCGGAUUAGGUAGUUGGUGGGGUAAGAGCCUACCAAGCCGACGAUCCGUAGCUGGUCUGAGAGGAUGAUCAGCCACACUGGGACUGAGACACGGCCCAGACUCCUACGGGAGGCAGCAGUGGGGAAUAUUGGACAAUGGGCGCAAGCCUGAUCCAGCAAUGCCGCGUGAGUGAUGAAGGCCUUAGGGUUGUAAAGCUCUUUUACCCGGGAUGAUAAUGACAGUACCGGGAGAAUAAGCCCCGGCUAACUCCGUG